GAUGAACGCUGGCGGCGUGCCUAAUACAUGCAAGUCGAGCGAACAGACGAGGAGCUUGCUCCUCUGACGUUAGCGGCGGACGGGUGAGUAACACGUGGAUAACCUACCUAUAAGACUGGGAUAACUUCGGGAAACCGGAGCUAAUACCGGAUAAUAUAUUGAACCGCAUGGUUCAAUAGUGAAAGACGGUUUUGCUGUCACUUAUAGAUGGAUCCGCGCCCCAUUAGCUAGUUGGUAAGGUAACGGCUUACCAAAGAAACGAUGCGUAACGGACCUGAAGGGGUGAUCAGCCACACUGGAACUGAGGCACGGUCCAGACUCCUACGGGAGGCAGCAGUAGAGAAUCUUCCGCAAUGGGCGAAAGCCUGACGGAGCAACGCCGCGUGAGUGAUGAAGGUCUUCGGAUCGUAAAACUCUGUUAUUAGGGAAGAACAAAUGUGUAAGUAACUAUGCACGUCUUGACGGUACCUAAUCAGAAAGCCACGGCUAACUACGUG
rnacentral:rRNA from 1 species